rnacentral:miRNA from 1 species
AGUUGUACAUGUUGACACAAGC